GUGGGGAAUAUUGGUCAAUGGACGGAAGUCUGAACCAGCCAAGUAGCGUGCAGGAUGACGGCCCUAUGGGUUGUAAACUGCUUUUGUAUGGGAAUAAAGUGAGGGACGUGUCCCUUUUUGUAUGUACCAUAAGAAUAAGGACCGGCUAAUUCCGUGCCAGCAGCCGCGGUAAUACGGAAGGUCCGGGCGUUAUCCGGAUUUAUUGGGUUUAAAGGGAGCGCAGGCUGGAGAUUAAGCGUGACGUGAAAUGCCGCGGCUCAACCGUGGAAGUGCGUCGCGAACUGGUUUCCUUGAGUGUAUUCGACGUCAGCGGAAUUCGUGGUGUAGCGGUGAAAUGCUUAGAUAUCACGAAGAACUCCGAUUGCGAAGGCAGCUGGCGAGGCUAUAACUGACGCUAAAGCUCGAAGGUGCGGGUAUCGAACAGG
rnacentral:rRNA from 1 species